UUUUUAGGUUUUUCAGCUGUGAUACCAUACCAAUAAAUUCCCCUUGUAGAAGCUUGAACCUUGAAGAUUAAUCAUGCAUUCUUCUAAAUGAACUAUUUUUGGUGUAGUUUGGGUCCCAUCUGUGCUUAAAGAUUCAAUUUGUAGUACUCAAGUUCAGCUUUUUGUUUUUUAUUUUGCACAAUAGUCAAAAGGGCUUUCAUUUUGUAAUCUCUUUUCCCCCUUUUUAAGUUAUACAUGGAUCUCAACACUGUCCAAUUUCAAGAUUCUCUGUUAAAUCCAUGGUGGUAACUUCCCAAUUUGUUGCAAGAUUCUGAGAUUUUCAUGGUGAUAAGUAUAAGGUGGCAAAACG
rnacentral:lncRNA from 1 species